rnacentral:rRNA from 1 species
GACAGAAGCUUCGGUGGAAGAUUACUAAUGAGAGUGGCGAACGGGUGAGUAACGCGUGAGCAACCUGCCUAUGACAGUGGGAUAGCCUCGGGAAACCGGGAUUAAUACCGCAUAAAAUCGUAGAAACACAUGUUUUAACGGUCAAAGAUUUAUCGGUCAUAGAUGGGCUCGCGUCUGAUUAGCUAGUUGGUGAGAUAACAGCCCACCAAGGCGACGAUCAGUAGCCGGUCUGAGAGGAUGAACGGCCACAUUGGAACUGAGACACGGUCCAAACUCCUACGGGAGGCAGCAGUGGGGAAUAUUGCACAAUGGGGGAAACCCUGAUGCAGCGACGCCGCGUGAACGAAGAAGGUAUUCGUAUCGUAAAGUUCUGUCCUAUGGGAAGAUAAUGACAGUACCAUAGAAGAAAGCUCCGGCUAAAUACGUGCCAGCAGCCGCGGUAAUACGUAUGGAGCGAGCGUUGUCCGGAAUUAUUGGGCGUAAA